CCCUGCCAUUUGUACACACCGCCCGUCGCUCCUACCGAUUCGAGUGGUCCGGUGAACCUUCUGGACUGUGAGGGCCCCCGAGGCUCUUGCGGGAAGUUAAGUAAACCUUAUCACUUAGAGGAAGGAGA
rnacentral:rRNA from 1 species